rnacentral:rRNA from 1 species
GAGGAACGCUGGCGGCGUGCUUAACACAUGCAAGUCGAACGGUGAAGCAGAGCUUGCUCUGUGGAUCAGUGGCGAACGGGGGAGUAACACGUGAGCAACCUGCCCUGGACUCUGGGCUAAGCGCUGGAAACGGCGUCUAAUACUGGAUACGAGCUGCGGAGGCAUCUUCAGCAGCUGGAAACAACUUCGGUCAGGGAUGAGCUCGCGGCCUAUCAGCUAGUUGGUGAGGUAACGGGUGACCACGGCGUCGACGGGUAGCCGGCCUGGGAGGGUGACCGGCCAUGCUGGAACUGUGACACGGCCCAGACUCCUACGGGAGGCAGCAGUGGUGAAUAUUGCACAAUGGGCAAAAGCCUGAUGCAGCAACGCCGCGUGGGCGAUGACGGCCUUCGGGUUGUAAACCUCUUUUAGCAAGGAAGAAGCGAAAGUGACGGUACUUGCAGAAAAAGCGCCGGCUAACUACGUGCCAGCAGCCGCAGUAAAAC